rnacentral:tRNA from 5 species
GGUGCCAUAGCUCAGUUGGUAGAGCAAAGGACUGAAAAUCCUUGUGUCGCUGGUUCGAUUCCAGCUGGCACCACCA